UGUCACGUGAUUAGUUUAGACAAGACAACACAGGUUCACGGCAUGUCCCUGUUUUGAGCGUGUCUAUAGUGUGCCUUCAGCGUCAAAUCGCGAUGGAUUUGAGCAAAAUCGCUCAAAAUCUAAUAAAGUGUGUCUCCACUGGAGAGAUGGUUGAGCUGCAGAGUUUAUGGGCCAAACAAACUGCAGUGGUAGUUUUUCUUCGUCGCUUUGGAUGACAGUUGUGCAGGCUGUGGUCGACUGAGCUUAGUUCGGUCAAAUCACAGCUUGAUGCACACAAUGUGCGACUCUGCGGUGUGGGACUUGAGGAAUUAGGUCUUGAAGAAUUCCUAGAAAAAAAGUUUUUCACUGGAGAGUUGUUCAUUGAUGCUAAACAACAAAUCUACAAAGAUUUGGGAUUCAAGAGGUAAGUAAUUCUUGUCACCUCUGCCUGGCCCAGCUCUGGCAAUCCCAUGUCUGC